rnacentral:rRNA from 1 species
GUCUACGGUCAUGCUACCUUGAACAAGCCCGAUCCCAUCUGAUCUUGGAAGCUAAGCAGGGUUGGGACUGAUUAGUACUUGGAUGGGAGACCACCUAGGAAAACCAGGUGCUUCUGAGG